rnacentral:rRNA from 1 species
AGAGUUUGAUCAUGGCUCAGAACGAACGCUGGCGGCAGGCUUAACACAUGCAAGUCGAACGGGUGUAGCAAUACAUCAGUGGCAGACGGGUGAGUAACACGUGGGAACCUUCCUAGAGGUACGGAACAACUCAGGGAAACUUGAGCUAAUACCGUAUACGCUCUUGCGAGGAAAGAUUUAUCGCCUUUAGACGGGCCCGCGUCGGAUUAGCUAGUUGGUGGGGUAACGGCCUACCAAGGCGACGAUCCGUAGCUGAUCUGAGAGGAUGAUCAGCCACACUGGGACUGAGACACGGCCCAGACUCCUACGGGAGGCAGCAGUGGGGAAUCUUGGACAAUGGGCGCAAGCCUGAUCCAGCCAUGCCGCGUGAGUGAAGAAGGCCUGCGGGUUGUAAAGCUCUUUUGCCAGGGACGAUAAUGACGGUACCUGGAGAAUAAGCCCCGGCAAACUUCGUG